rnacentral:rRNA from 1 species
UACGGGGGGGGCAAGCGUUGUUCGGAAUUACUGGGCGUAAAGGGCUCGUAGGCGGCCAACUAAGUCAGACGUGAAAUCCCUCGGCUUAACCGGGGAACUGCAUCUGAUACUGGAUGGCUUGAGAUUGGGAGAGGGAUGCGGAAUUCCAGGUGUAGCGGUGAAAUGCGUAGAGAUGUGGAGGAACACCGAUGGCGAAGGCAGCCCCCUGGGUUAACACUGACGCUCAGGCACGAAAGGCGUGGGGAGCAAACAGG